CGUAGGGGGCAAGCGUUGUCCGGAUUUAUUGGGCGUAAAGAGCGUGUAGGCGGCCAUGCAGGUCAGCUGUGAAAACUCGAGGCUCAACCUCGAGACGUCGGUUGAAACCGCAUGGCUAGAGUCCGGAAGAGGAGAGUGGAAUUCCCGGUGUAGCGGUGAAAUGCGCAGAUAUCGGGAAGAACACCUAUGGCGAAGGCAGCUCUCUGGGACGGUACUGACGCUGAGACGCGAAAGCGUGGGGAGCAAACAGGAUUAGAUACCCUGGUAGUCCACGCCGUAAACGAUGGGUACUAGGUGUGGCGGGUGUCGACUCCCGCUGUGCCGAAGCUAACGCAUUAAGUACCCCGCCUGGGGAGUACGGCCGCAAGGCUA
rnacentral:rRNA from 1 species